rnacentral:snRNA from 1 species
UGCCAAUUUGUCCGCCUUU